rnacentral:lncRNA from 1 species
GGUUGGGGAGGUGGGGGGAAGCGAAGCCCUAAGAUGGGCGGAGAGAAGCAGAUGUGGAGGUGAUGGCGAAGACCCAGAUAUAAGCAGUUGGUGAGUUCCAUGAGGAGACUGCAACUUCUCCACCCUGUGCCCCUCCAGAUCCCUCAUGCUGCUCUGUGUCCUCCAGGGUUGGCCUGUCCAAGUUCAACAGUGGGCUUCCACACCCUCCCACUUCCAGCUGGGUUGGCCAAGGACUUUCAACUGCGGCACCAGAAGGGACCUUAUAGCUGAGAAAAUUGAAGCUCAGAGAGCUGCAGCAGCUUGCCCAGCAUCAUACGGCACUGGAAAUGGUCAGCCAAUGUGUUCCGUAGAGCACGGAGCCAUAACAAAAGAGUCUGUGGGUGUCACCCGCCCGUCUGCCAGCCUGCAGGAUCAGGUAUCGGAGGCCUUCAGGACUCUCGUAGGCUGCCUUGGCAUCUCUGCA